rnacentral:rRNA from 1 species
GUGUCAGCCGCCGCGGUAAUACAGAGGGGGCUAGCGUUAUUCGGAAUUAUUGGGCGUAAAGGGCGCGUAGGCGGCCACGCGUGUCUUUCGUGAAAUCCCUCGGCUUAACUGAGGACGUGCGGAAGAAACUGCGAGGCUCGAGUCCGGGAGAGGGGGGUGGAAUUCCCAGUGUAGCGGUGAAAUGCGUAGAUAUUGGGAGGAACACCGGUGGCGAAGGCGGCCCCCUGGACCGGUACUGACGCUGAUGCGCGAAAGCGUGGGUAGCAAACGGGAUUAGAUACCCUUGUAGUCC